rnacentral:rRNA from 1 species
GACGAACCGUGCGAACGUUGUUCGGAAUCACUGGGCUUAAAGGGCGCGUAGGCGGGUUCGCAAGUCUGUGGUGAAAGCCUCCAGCUUAACUGGAGAAGUGCCAUGGAUACUGCGAAUCUUGAGGAGGGUAGGGGCAUCUGGAACGGUCGGUGGAGCGGUGAAAUGCGUUGAUAUCGACCGGAACUCCGGCGGCGAAGGCGGAUGUCUGGACCUUGAGCUCGUCGAUGCGGCUGGACGGCAA